UUUGGGUGUGAAGAGAAGAGCA
rnacentral:sRNA from 1 species